rnacentral:ribozyme from 1 species
GGCCUUUGCUGAUCUUAAAUGCCAAAACAUUCUUGGACUUGGUAUGAUGGACGAAGCUGAAAAUGUAUUGGGA